rnacentral:rRNA from 1 species
AAUUUUGGACAAUGGGGGAAACCCUGAUCCAGCCAUCCCGCGUGUAUGAUGAAGGNCUNNGGGUUNUNAAGAACUUUUGGCAGNNNNNAAAAGGUAUCUNCUAAUACGAUAUACUGCUGACGAUAUCUGCAGAAUAAGCACCGGCUAACUACGUGCCAGCAGCCGCGGUAAUACGUCGGGUCCAUGCCUUAAUCGGAAUUACCGGGCUUAAAGCGUGUGUAGGCGGUACGGAAGAAAAGAUGUGAAAACCCAGGGAUCAACCUUGGAACUGCAUUUUUAACUGCCGAGCUAGAGUAUGUCAGAGGGGGGUAGAAUUCCACGUGUAGCAGUGAAAUGCGUAGAUAUGUGGAGGAAUACCGAUGGCGAAGGCAGCCCCCUGGGAUAAUACUGACGCUCAGACACGAAAGCGUGGGGAGCAAACAGG